rnacentral:rRNA from 1 species
GUCUAUGGCCAUCCCACCCUGAACAAGCCUGAUCCCAUCUGAUUUCAGAAGCUAAGCAGAGUUGGGCCUGGUUAGUACUUGGAUGGGAGACCACCUAGGAAGACCAGGUGCUGUAGGCG